UGGGAUUAGUUCAGUUCAGUUCAGGGCGCA
rnacentral:piRNA from 1 species